GACGAACGCUGGCGGCAUGCCUAACACAUGCAAGUCGGAUGUGCCGCAAGGUGCAUGGCAGACGGGUGAGUAACGCGUGGGGAACCUACCUCUUCGUGGGGAAUAACGAUCCGAAAGGAUUGGUAAUACCGCAUGAGACCGACGGCUGGGAUGCUGUCGGUGAAAGCUGGGGACCGGAAACGGCCUGGCGCGAGGAGAGGGUCCUGCGUCUGAUUAGCUAGUUGGUGGGGUAACGGCCUACCAAGGCAUCGAUCAGUAGCCGGCCUGAGAGGGUGAUCGGCCACACUGGAACUGAGACACGGUCCAGACUCCUACGGGAGGCAGCAGUGGGGAAUUUUGCGCAAUGGACGAAAGUCUGACGCAGCAACGCCGCGUGGGUGAUGAAGGUCUUCGGAUUGUAAAACCCUGUCGUCGGGGACGAAGGUAGGGGGUUAAGUAGCCUUUUGCUUGACGGUACCCGGAGAGGAAGCCCCGGCUAACUCUGUGCCAGCAGCCGCGGUAAU
rnacentral:rRNA from 1 species